GACUAUUCAAGUCGAGGUCAUUAGGGGCGGUCGAAGAAUUCAAGUGUCGAUCUUUGAUAUUGUGGUUGGUGAUGUAGUAGCUUUAAAAAUUGGUGAUCAGGUUCCAUCAGAUGGCAUUUUAAUUAGUGGCCAUUCUCUUGCCAUUGAUGAAUCCAGUAUGACUGGGGAAAGCAAAAUUGUAAGUUA